rnacentral:tRNA from 1 species
CAGGGAGACAACAAAAUGUUUAAUAUUAUUAUUUUGUCACCUUAGGUCGAUCGGUAUCUCACGUUCUUAAUUUGUUAAGAAUUUCAUUUCCUAAGUUUUUCUAGGUCACACCCAUUAUUUUUCCUGGGCCAUUAGCUCAGGUGGUUAGAGCGCACCCCUGAUAAGGGUGAGGUCCCUGGUUCAAGUCCAGGAUGGCCCAUAUCUCUAUGUUGGGGGUAUAGCUCAGUUGGUAGAGCGCCUGCUUUGCAAGCAGGAUGUCAGCGGUUCGAGUCCGCUUACCUCCACUGAUUACCACCUCUUCCAUAACCGAUUGAAAGGAAAUGUUUUGAGCUGUGAUCAUUAUUCUGAACGAAUCUAGCUUCCUAAUGAAAUUCAUUAAGACGCUGGACUCAUUGAAUUAAUUUCAUUGUUUUCAGAGAACCUUGACAACUGCAUAGAUUAUUUUUAAAGACAAUAAGCAUCUUUAAUGAUGCAGAUUUAUUAUUUGUGCGAAUGCAUUAAUAACAAUUCUAUUAAGCUGAUGCUUCAAUUUUUGAAGUUAUU